AUGAAACAGAUGGUCAUAGAAUUGGUUCAGUGGUUGUGAGUGCAGCAACCCAAGAGUGUCUUAUCUGAAAUACCACCAGGAAUGCCUGGACACAGUAGACAAAGGUUGUUCAACUGGACGCCUUAGGAUACAUGCUUCCAAAAACAAAGUAGCUGAAAAGAAACUAGAAUAACAGGAUAUCAGAGCCAGAGGAGCAUUUGGAGAAGUACGGGAAGGAUGAAAUUACUUUUGAUGGAGAGAGCAUUUAGUGUCUCAGAGAGAAGACAGGACAUCAUUCAUCACUUUCAUGAUGGGGCCGGCAGAUACCACCAUGGUGACGUUUGUGGCAGAAGAGGUGGAGCCAGGGACUGGGGAGAAGAAACGCAAACACAUGAUGGGUUAAAAACUGGUGAAAUCGAAUAGGUUUAAUCAGGACUGAGGAAGAACAUGGCAAGAUAAGUUUAUGGUCAGGGUUGGUUGGUGAUCCUCAGUGUUGCUGCGCAGUAGAAGGUGAGUUUGAGGUGAGAGGAACAAGUAGGAAAGAGUGAUCCCCUGAACCACCUCCUCACUUUCUUAGCUUUCAACCCCACCUAGGUUUUGUGAGCCUGGAACUUGGGAGACUGUUCGGUAGCCCAGGUCUCCUAAGAGUGGGUGCAGUGGCUGUGACCCUGGGCUGCUCAGCAUUCAUGUGGAAAUGAAGGAAGGAGGACUGGAUCAAUCCCAUUUGAAAGCAUCCUUCUCUGCAGCCCACACAAUCCUCCAAUGACACUGACAGAGGUGUACCCUCCUAGUGUACUGGGACCAAAAUUCGGAAGUGUCUGCAAACUUGCUUUAACCGUAUGGGAAAUAACCUCUAUCACCUGGAAUUUCCUUGGGACUUUGGAAAAUACAAGAGAAGUAUGAGACUUGGGUCUUCCCUUGGCUGUGUUUAAUUCACUCUUCUAUGGAAUACCAAUGAUUCUCACUAAGACUUUUGCCUUUUUAUAACCACAAUGUAUGCUUUAUGGAGAAGAUUUUACUCUUUGCUCUACUUAGAAAGAAUAAAUAUGAGCAAUGCUUUA
rnacentral:lncRNA from 1 species